rnacentral:tRNA from 1 species
AGGGCUAUAGCUCAGUUCGGUAGAGC